UACGAAGGGGGCUAGCGUUGCUCGGAAUCACUGGGCGUAAAGGGUGCGUAGGCGGGUCUUUAAGUCAGGCGUGAAAGCCCCGGGCUCAACCUGGGAACCGCGCUUGAGACUGGAGAACUAGAGUUCGGGAGAGGAUGGUGGAAUUCCCAGUGUAGAGGUGAAAUUCGUAGAUAUUGGGAAGAACACCGAUGGCGAAGGCAGCCAUCUGGACCGACACUGACGCUGAGGCGCGAAAGCGUGGGGAGCAAACAGG
rnacentral:rRNA from 1 species